rnacentral:tRNA from 1 species
ACCUUGGUUACGCAAUUGGCAGCGUGCGCGGCUGUUAACCGCGUUAUUCAGGUUCGAAUCCUGACCGGGGUG